rnacentral:lncRNA from 1 species
AGUAAACCAUGCGGAAAAAAGAUGUAUCUGGUUAUAAUUUUACCGCUGCUCAUUAUAUGGCUCCCUCCCCUGAUUUUGUUGUUGCCCCCCACCCCUGCUUCUUCUGUCUUGUGGUUAAUGAUCAUUCUUCUUCUUUUUGUGACGUUGUUGGUUGUUGUCACCAUAGCUCUUGUAGAGAGAAUACAUGUAAAAAUCUUUUGUAAUGAAGGCGAUCGGAUGGUUUGCUCGAGAAAUAGUGUUCAAACGUUUUCCCAAGCCCCCAUCCCUUGUCGUCUGGUAUCAAUGCAUCGUUGCAGCUGGUCUUAAUGCUCAGCUUAAUACUUCCUUCGACCUGAAUUACUUGUUGCAGAAGUGGAUAUCCAUUUCUGCCUCAAGUAAUUCGGGAUGGAGGGUGUAACAUUUUAAGUACAUGCAAUGUCCAAAAAUGCACCGCUUCCCGAGAAGAAUGUGGUCUCAGCAGUUUCUCAGGCCCGUUCUCUCACGUGCUCCAUCUUCCUUGCCGCUGCACCAUCCAGAAGCUUCUGAACCUCUAUUUUCCUUCUGAAGUUCCGUUGUGUCGAUAUAGUGGAGGAGGUCAGCCCCCGUAUACUACACGGCGCGUCAUUAUUGACCAUGUGCACCACUCUUUUCUGCAAACUUUCUGUGCUGUCUCGCUGCAGUUCCCCUGAGUGGAGAAAAUUCGCUGUGCCAUUGCCAAUUGCAGCGGCGGCCUCUAUCAAAUCGUGACGCGGCGCUGUAGCUGAAACCGAUCGGAAUUAAUCUUUUUUUCUGCAGCUGGAUGUUGAGCAGCAGGCCAGCGACAUGCACGUGUAGGCGAGGGAAUUACUUGUGAUACCAGUUGCAGACUUGUACUUGUCCCUGUAAUGACACUGUUUCAUUGGUUGAUUUCAGUGUCAUGACAAGGAGAUGGCACUCAGAAUGUGGCUUUCAGCCCAUGCUAGAAAGGGAGGUGUGAUGAUAAAAGGGAAAACCGCCGGUAACAGCAAGCAAGCAAGAGAUCAUUCUUUUCCCAUUCCUCCAAGUUGCUCCCCCGGCCUAGAUGGUGAUGGCCGGCCGCUGAUGAUAUCAUCAACGCGCUUACCCAAAGACGAGUCUCCCAAAAUCGCACUGGCACGAUCGACAUGCCAUGUCAAGAUUUUGUGAACAGAAAGAAACAUCAUCGCAGUGCACAGUACACUAGUGCAGGGUGUUGCAACAAUGCUGAAGACUGAAGCAACGAAGCAAGUACAACAGCUCCACUAGUCACCUAAACCGUAACUGUGUCCAACCAGUGGACUACAACAACAGCGUAAGCACAACGACUGCGAGCGAGCAGUAUUUUAGUCUCCCAGCUGCAGCAUAUCGAUGAACCUACGAAACGAAAGGAUUGUUUGUAGUAGUAUAAGUACGUCUUAAUCAGGAGGACGUGGCGGCAACGUGGACGCGCGGGCAGAUUACUGUUAGCUGACGGCGAGAUCACACGUGACCUACUCCCGUACGGACCUUCGUCGAAUUCGAACCCCUCCUCUCUGUCUCUGCACAGCUGCAGCCUGAGGCGGAUGGAGGUACACGCGUACACCACACAGUGGCGGAGGAUGCGUUCAGAGGCAUGCAUGCAGGGAUGGCCGAGAGGGAACACAAAGAUUCCUCUUCCUCCUCCAAACAUCGUGGUACACAUACGUAGCCGAUUAUCCGUGGCCGAUUAUCCGUAUACGUACGUCAAGAUUCCUCCGGACAAGGGAUCGAACUAACAGUGGUACUACUGUAUGAUGCAUGCGCCAAAUUACACACUCAUCGUAGAAUAAUCUAGCACUAGUGUAGUUAAUUAACUAACAGGAAAGUGACCGGGGCAUCUUGGAGGAUCGAUGAUUCUAUUUCUACCAAGCAUGUCAUAGUAGUAAUCAUCAGUGUUAAUGUAUACAUGUAGCUUUGGCAGGACAAGGAUGGCAGUGUCGACCGUACGUCGUCGUCGUCGUUAUCAAGCUUGGCAGCGACGGAGAACUGGCUAAUGCAACGUGGAGACGGUGUGGACCAUUAGUUUGCAUGCGUGGGGGAGCUGGCGGUCGAUCGAUUCUCUCUUCCCCGCCAUGCAUUCUUAGACAUCAGUAAUUCAUCAGCAGCAUAAGAUCCCAUGCCGAGAAAACUUUGUCUGCAUGGACCCAGAAGUAAGAGCUAAGAGCAUGAAAUGAAUGAAGAUGACAGGCACGAGGCGCACACAAGAGAGGAGAGCCAUAUAUAUAUAUAUAUAUACAUACACAGUACACAGCAUAUUCCUGUGCAGUGCACCCAAAAGAGACCGUCCUCACUUGCGUGUGCUUGCUCACCACUGGAGUACGUACGUACAUAUUCCCAGAGAAGAAGCCGGCUAGCUAUGUAUUCUGACUGAGGAGAGAGGGGAGAGAGCGCGAUCCUGCAAACAUCGCUAUUUUUCGAUAUCUUUGUGGCGCAUUGCGUGCCGGUGUUGGCAUCGAUAUUUUGCACCACUUGGUCACUUGGGGAACUCAACAGUUUGCAGAAACAAGAUGGGAACAGUUUGUGGUCUCUCUCUCUCUCUCGCUCGCUGUCCGACGUGGUAUAUAUUGCGAGUGAAACACGACAGCAGGAUUGGACGAGGGCGUGAGGCCGACCCGUCCAGAGGUCAAAGCAGCUGAAAGCGAAAACGAUUACCCGAUACACAAAACACAUGCAAUCUGGGCAGCGAGAAUUUCAAACGCAAGGACGUUGUGGUCUUCUGGUGGUUAUCCUAUUUAUAUAUGAUGAGUCUAUAUCUAUAUCCUAUCCUACACGUACCGACGUACGUACGUAGGUGCCAUUGCCAUGGCAUAGAUAUAUGUAUAUGGUCCGUCCGUGCAACCGGAUUGUCCUUGGAGAGUACGUACUGUGGGUCGGUCCUGGCGUGACCACGACGUGCGUCCACACACAGCGCACAUAAAAAAAGAAGUCCUCCUUCGUGCGGCAACUUGUGUAGGAAAAAAAAGUCAGGCCUAUCAGCAAUGAGCACGUCUUAAUCGGGCCGACGUGGCGACGUGCCUACGGCGGGCCUGUACGUGGUUCAGUCGAUUUUUCUUCUGCUCCAGCUAGGCUUUUCUCGCUGAUGCACCCUCCCUAAUCGCGUCAUGAUCGCAGGGGCCUUGCAGGUGGCUGGAAGGGUUCCGGGGAAACCUCUUGGCCGGCGUGGCGGCCACUCCGAUGGCAAUGCCUUUGGGUGUUGCUUCCCUCGUUGGAGGCUUCGGAGAGGACCUCCUUCCUUCCACCCCUCCCAGGAGCUCAGGUGAAAACCUCAGACCCCCCUGUUCGAAGCGACGACGAUAGCACGGUGGCGUGCUCCUUCCUGAAGGCGUUGCUCGGGGGCUGCUCAAGCGGCGGUGGAAGUGGCGGCGGUUCGGUGUUGACACAUGCAUUCUGGUCAGCUUCAUCUUGGAGGUUGCGGCGACGUAGACGACGCUCGUCUGGUGGAGCUACUGCCGAUGGUCGAGGCAUCGUCGGCAGUCUGCGCCAUCAGGUUUGGGAUGCUCAGGGGGAAACCCCAGAUCUGGGUCUUCCGGAUCGGAUGAUGAUGGCGUUCUAUCGCUUUCCCUUCUGGGGGCAUCGUCUUGGAGCAAGUGCUGGCUGGAGGGAUGGUGGAGCGGUGUUUCAUCUCACACAUUGAUGGCGGCGGAGAUCGAUGGCAUGGCGCUGUGGAGACUCGGCGUCCGAUGCGCGGAGAUGGGCUCGCGCAGGAGGAGGUUGCUGUCUGGCGUCAUGGUGACGUCGAUGGCCGAGUGGCCAGACAAGGUAGAAGCCUCAAUAUGAUGUGAAGACCUGUGGAAGAUGGCGGCGACGACACACGAGUGUGUCUGACCGGAUUGUGCCCCGGACCCGGUAUGUGGCUCGGCUGGGGCUUCCGAAUGAGUUUCGGCUUCCGGCUUUUGAUGUUAGGCUUAGGUGAGUGGUUUGGGUAGUGGCCCAGCUAGCACCCCUUCAUCAUUUUGGAUAGGAGUAGCGGCGUAUGUUGCCAAGAUGGUGGAUUCAGGCACAUUGUUGUAAUAUUUGUAAGGUCCUCGAGAAUAAUCAAUAAAGUGGCCGUAUGCAUCUCCCAGAUGCAGAGGCCGGGGGUCAUCCUUCUUUUCUAAAAAAAAAAAUUUAACUUAGGAGGGCAACGAACGAACUGUCAGCGAUGGGCCUACCGCGGGGCCCCACAACGGACUUGUACGUAGUAGUUUUCCCGGCUGCGCGCGCGACGUCGCCGUCGCUUCGCCACCAUGCACCGUAGAAAACCAGCGGGGGAUCCCUCCACCUUCCAACUUCCACCCUUUGUCUUUGUCCCGAGCAGCAGCACGCCCGUGGCCCGUACCCCCACUGCAGACGGACGAACACGGGCGGGGAGAUAUUGCUCUCCGUGGUGCCACUAGCUGCGCUGCGCGGCCUGAUCGGGAGAGGAAUAAUAAUAGAAUAGUCCGGCCUGAUACCGAGGGGCUGUGCUGCGCUGGUCUUUUUUUCCGGGGAUAUUCGAGAGCUUUAUUAGAUAAAGCGUUCGCAUCAGGAAGCUAGGGGUACCGUCGAGCCAGCUCUCAGUCACUUCAAUUGUGCAAGCAUGCUUGACACAAAGGUAAGCAGGACCGUUCGCUGACCUGGAUACAUGUUCAAUUACAAAAGAGAUAAAAGUGCUAGCUAGCUCUCCAAUUUCUAUUAAAAUUGGUGCCACGACUGCACGCGAGUCAUGGCAAUUGGUCCAGAGGUUAACAACCUCCAAACAAUCCGUCUCAAGGACGACGCUCGUAAAGCCCCUCAGCUUGGCGAAGAUGACACCGUCUCGCACUGCCAUUGCCUCCGCGAUGAGAGGAUCCGUCACCCCUGGGUAUGGUUUGCUCCAAGCUCCAAGGAAGGAUCUUGAUGAUCUUGCCAUGCCGCCUCCUCCGCCUUUCCCUUCCUCGCGCCGAACAGCAGCAUCAGUGUUGAUCUUCACGAGGUCGGCCUCAAGGGCGCCAACCAUGACCUAGUAACACAAGAACCUGGCACCGGGGGACAUCGAGAAGUGCAAGUGCUUCCCUGGUCUUCCGGACUGAAUUAGCCGGAUCCAGUUUAUCUUCCCCAUGCGUCAGCUUGUUCCUUGAGUGCCAGAUCGACCACAUAACAGAAACUAUGAUGGCUCGGUCUCUGCCUGUAAAACGAUCAUCACAAAUGAUAUCUUGGGCCCAUGUAUCUGGAUGAAGGCUAGGCAACUGGAAAUCAAACAGCUGCUGGGCCUCCUCCCAAAACAGUUGUGCAUGAGAGCAUUUAAGCAAAGCAUGCUCGAGAUUUUCAUCCAUUGCCAUACAGAUUUUGCAAACACUGACCUCUCGCAAAUGCCGGUGUUUAAGAGUGCUUUCAUCCGGCAGAAUACCCCUGAGAACCCGCCAGAAGAACACCCUAACCUUUGGCAUCACGUGUAGCUUCCACAAGGCAUUCCGCAUCCGUUGAUUAUCAGUUGAUGGACAGGUAGGCUGCCCUUCCUCUAGAGCUUGACGCUCUUUUUGAGUCAUUAGAGCUCGGUACGCCGACUUGCCAGUAGUUGCCUGAGGGCUCAUGUGCCCAUGCGAAGAAAUCCUCUCCACCUCCAGAGCGAAGCGGGAUAUUCAAAAUAGCUUCCGCAUCAGGCGGAAUAAAAGUGUCCCGCACCAGCUGCCUUUUCCACAUCCAGGUUUCAGUAUCAAUAAGCUCGUCAACCCUGGAUAUGUUUGUAUUCGGUGGCCGAAACAACAGAGACAUCGUGGUAGUGGACGGAAUCCAGCGAUCAUCCCAGACCGCAAUGGAGGACCCAUCCCCUACUCUCUUAAUCAAACCAGCGAGCAAAGCUUCCCGUCCAGAGAUGAUUGCUCUCCAAGUUGCAGACGAAUUCUUGGGGGUUGUAGCUUGCAUGAAAUCAGAGUCAGGGAAAUACCUGCCCUUCAGAAUUCUGGCACACAAAGUGUUGGGGUUUGUUACAAGGCGCCAUCCUUGUUUCCCUAACAGGGACAGGUUGAAGAUGUGAAGAUCACCAAAACCCAUUCCCCCUUGCACUUUGGUGUAGAUAAUUUCUUCCAUGAGAUCCAGUGGAGCGACCGCUUGUCAAUCGAGCCACUCCACCAAUAUUUCGCCAUGUGCGACGUCAGACUCUUACACACCUUUUUGUCAAGAGAAAACAACUCAUACUGAACGUAGGAAUUGCUUGUGCAAUAGAUUUAGUGAGAGUCUCGAGUCCCGCGCAAGCGAACAAUCUUUCCGACCAACCCUGCAUCUUGGUCCUCGAUCUCUCGCCGAUGUGGUAAAAAAUGCCACUAGUUAUUUUCCCAACCGCACUAGGAAGGCCGAGAUAUCUCUCAGUGAACGCCUCGACAUGAAUAUCGAGCGUUGUCUUGAUGGUGUGCCUGCUAGUGUCAGUAGUAUUAGGGCUGAAGUAUAUUGCUGUGCUGCGGUGGUCUGUGGUCUCCGCUUUGUCCGUCGUCUGUGCGCUCCGCCCGUACAGAAAAGGAUUCUCCGUAUCAUCCUUUCCUUCCUUCCCUGCGGUUUCUUGCUGCUGCUGGUAGUACGGGCACAAUUUUCUAUCUCUCGGAAUGUUCGGCCAUGACCCUUUGAGGAGGGCGCUGCCAAAGUGCCAAUGAUUGGUGGCACGUGUAUUGGAUCUUUAUUGUUACCAGGGCGUCUGUUUUUAAUCUUCUUUUAUUUUAGUGUGCUAUGUUGCUCCUUUUGUAGCACCGGAAACAUCGGGGACAACAUUUCAGCAAAAAGCGACGCCAAGGCAUGCAAGGGCAUGUACAAUGGUUCUAUCUUAAGACAAGAGAUGAUCUCUUAUCAUAAUAUGUCUCGCUAUAUUUUUAGGAAUAACUAGUUAUUGAAGAUAAGACUAAAGAAGAUCCAUUGUAGACAUGUUUUUUUGUCAUCUCUAAACUAAAUGCAAGAUUUAAGAUAAGACUAUCAUAUCACAAUAUGUCUCACUAUAUUUUUAGAAAUAGCUAGUUAUUGAAGAUAAGGCUAAAGAAGAUCCAUUGUAGACAUGUUUUUUGUCAUCUUUAAACUACAUGCAAGAUUUAAGAUAAGACUAUCUUAUCUGUUAGAAGGGAGAGAGAGGAGAGAGAGAGGGAUUAUUGCGGAAUAUGAUGGAUGUAUUAUUGAGCCUCGAGGGCGAGUAUAUAUUGAGUACAAGACUUGGAGGGCAAGAAGCCUCUCCUGAAGAUAAGGUAGGAGAUGGAUUACAAAUCUUAGACUACCAAAUACAAGUAACCCAAAUAUAUCUCUAACACCCCCCACAGUCGUAGCGGUAGCGUCGCAAACAACAGGAGCGUCGCAGACGGUUAGACUGGAGAGAAUAGAAGCGGACGGGCUGACAUCCCCCCGCAGUGGUAGCGGGAGCGACGUGGACGAUGUCGCGCCGCGGACACGUUGACUGUAGAGGAAGCCGACGAGUUGCCCAAGCGGAUGAUAGCCCUUUGUGUCGACGUCGAGGUAGACGAGAGCGUAGGGUGGUGUAGCCGUGGUCGAGGUAGCUGUGCUAAGAAUGCCGUGGUCGAUGUCGAGUCGGGGUAGCCGGUGUCGAGGAAAACGCCGUGGAGCCGCGGGCACAAGGAGGCGCCAAGUUAGCAUGGGCGCAGUGAUGUCGAAGUAGCUGUGCGCCGGGAGGUAGACGGUGUUGACGAAGCGUCACGCCGGGUUUGCCAAGCCAGGGGACACGUCGUGGACGAAGGCACACAUCGGUGUUGCCAGCACCGGGCAUGCGUAGAGGGACGAAGAUGAAGUUGUCGAACCGCCACUCCAGGCUUGCUAGGCCCGCAGACACGUCGUGGACGAAGGCACGCACCGGUGUUACCAGUACUGGGCAUGCAUAGACGAGGGACCUGCACGAGCUGUACGCCAUGUCGGAGAAGUCGGAGGGGCCAGCAGAGAAGAACUCGACGACGAUUGCGGCGUCCAUCGGCGCGGGGCCGAUGUCAUCAACGGUGGUCGGAGUAGACGAAGUGGUCGGGGUAGCUGACGGCGACGCUGGCGACGGGCUGGUGCGUGGACGAAGACGAAGGAGGUGGACAGGCGGCGGCGGCUAAGGCGGUAGCAGCGGCGGCGGCGGCUAGGUUAGUAGCGCGGCGACGGUGCUCAAAGUAGGCGAGGAACCCCACAACGUGACCAAGACCGGCGCGGACGAUGAUGUUCUCGCGCCAUGGGAGGCGGCGCGACGCAUACCAUGGGAGCUCGACGCGCGGGGACGACGGAGUAGACCUCGGGCCGCGGCGCUACAGCCCGAAGGGGCGAUGCAACACGACUGGUAGGUCACGACGACGGUAGGAAGACCUCGAGGCGGCGGCGGGGACCGCGGGCCAUGGUGCUACGGCCCGAAGGGGCAGCACAGCGUCGGAGCGUGGGGCGGUACAACCGCGGGGAUGGCCUCGAGGUGGCGGCGGGGACCGCGUAUUGCGGCGCUACGGCCCGAAGGGGCGACGCGCGAGUCGACCAACCACUAGUAGAAAAAGGCCCAUUUGUCCCGGUUCUAGAGAGCUGUGAACCACGAGGCGGCGGCGCUGCGGCCCGACGGGGCGACGUAGCGCCAUCCCGUUGCUUGAUCGGUGGAGGGGCGCGCUGAACUCAGGGACAAUCUUCACUAGACCUGUGGAGGCGCGCGCAACCGACGGGCCAGGUCGGUCGCGUGGCGUCGAUGAGGCGGAUCGUGGCGACGAGCGGGUGAUCAAGCCGAUCGCGUGCGAGGUCGGUGACGCCGCUCGGUAGAGGCGGGGUGGCGGCGGAGUCCAAGAUGAGGCCGACGAUGACGGACGGCGUAGGACGACAUGCGGACGAGCGCGUCAGCGCCGGCACCCGGGCUGCCAAAACAGCGCCGGUGCCCCGGCAGCGAGGCCCGAGCGACCAACCACUAGUAGAAAAAGGCCCAUUUGUCCCGGUUCUAGAGAGCUGUGACUAAAGGGUCGGUACUAAAGGCCCCCCCUUUAGUCCCGGUUCUGUUACGAAUCGGGACUAAAGGCCCUCCACGUGGCCGCUGUCUGGAGCUCCACCUUUAGUCCCGAUUGAUAACACCACCCCUCAUCACUGCUCAAUUUAACCUCUAAUUUCUAAUCACCCCUCAUCAUUCCAAAUCAUCUAACUUCCCGGCCGGUCACCCAUCCUCUCACUACUCCAGCCUGAGCACGCUUAACUUUUGGGUUCUAUUCCCCCUCGUUUCCAAGUCUGCACUUGUUGUUUUCCUGACAAUAGUAAGAUGUCAAUCCUAUUAACCCUCAGGAGUUUAGCUUGAGCAUGAAGUCACACGUUUCACUGUUUGAGUUUGAAAUUAUUAUUUAAAAAACAAUAAUUAUUUAGUAACACUAAUAUUUCUUGAAUAAGUAGUUUGACCAUAGUUUGACCAAACUUGACCAAAAUUUAAAAAAACUAAAAUAAUUAGUUAGUAACACUAAUAUUCUUGAAUAAUUAUUUAGUAACACUAAUACUUCUUAAAUAAGUAGUUUGACCAGAUUUAACCAAAAUUGAAAAAAAACUGAAAUUUGAGCAUAACUUUUUUUCCUUUUAGAAUUUGAGGAUUCUAAAAAUUUGCAAAACGAUCUAUGGCAGUCAAAAUCGGAUGCGGAUUUUCGUGCUGAACAUUUUGAUAUAUUAUAUGUUUUUUCUGACAUCGUAUGCAAAAGUUAUAGCCGUUUUACUUUUUCAUAACACUUUUUUUGCAAAACAUGUCCAAAUUUAAGUUUUUUAAUUUUCCUAACUAGUAGAUGUAGUAAUAUAACUACAUCUCGAAGGAUUUUUUUUGAAGUUUUUAUCAUUUUCUUUUUAAAAAAAAAAUUAAAAUGGCAAUACACCGGGGGGGGGGGUGGUAGAGUUUGAGACACGAACCCCUUUAGUCCCGGUUUGAGACACGAACCGGGACUAAAGGGCAUCGCACCCUUUAGUCCCGGUUCGUGUCUCAAACCGGGACUAAAGGUCUCAUUUGAACUGACACUAAUGCCUUUAGCCGCUCGAACCGGGACUAAUGCUCACAUUAGUCCCGGUUCGUAACGCAACCGAGACUAAUGUGUAUAUUGAGCUGUGACCAAAGCCCUGUUUUCUACUAGUGAACGUAUCAGCAGUGCGUGAGCUGAGGCGGCCAACGAGCCUGACGCAGCAGGCCCAACACAGCCGGGGACGAGGACGGCGACGCAGACUGCAGGGCCGUCGUGCAGACGCGGCGAAGGCGGGUGGUGUGGAUUGAUGGGCGAGCCGGCGCGCGAACGGCGGCUAUGAUGGGACGCUGCAUGGCGUGAGGCCGCCGGCUCGGGGAGAUGCAGGAGUGCCGGUCGGAGCAGGGCGGAGACGGCCAGCGCAGGGCGACAGGCGGGCCGACGCCCAGACGGCGGCUGAGCCUCACGGGCCGCCUCGGCGCGCGUGGCCGCCGGGUCGGAGGAGAAACCGGCGGGUCGCGAUGGGGUCGAAGUAGAGGCGCGCGGGGUUUACCGCGGCAGUGGGCGACGCAAACCGAUCAAGCGUAAAUCGGAAAACCAAAAAGAAAAACGCCGAUCAAGCUGACCGGCGGGAGAGAGAAAAAUCCAGAGCAAAGGCUCGGGAAAAAGACUCUCUAGGGCAGCCGGUCAACACGACCGGCGGACGUAUCCUAGGUAUGGGCGGCGCGGCCCCCGGCGGCGGUCAUGGAGGCCGACCGCCCCUGGAGGCGGCGCGGAGCGGAAGCGGCGGACGGCGGCUAGGGUUUGGAUCGAUUAGGCUGAUACCAUGUUAGAAGGAAGAGAAAAGUAUUGUUGUGAAAUAUGAUGAAUGUAUUAUUGAGUCUCGAGGACGAAUAUAUAUUGAGUAUAAGAUUUGAAGGGCAAGAAGUCUUUCCUGAAGAUAAGGUAGGAGAUGGAUUACAAAUCUUAGACUAAUGUUUUGUAAUGAAGGCGAUCGGAUGGUUUGCUCGAGAAAUAUAGUGUUCAAACGU